rnacentral:rRNA from 1 species
GACAGAGGAGGCUAGCGUUGUUCGGAUUCAUUGGGCUUAAAGCGGGUGUAGGCGGCUGCGCAAGUGUCUUGUGAAAGCCCCCGGCUCAACCGGGGAAUUGCUGGGCAAACUGCGUAGCUUGAGGUCGGUAGGGGUGCCUGGAACUCUAGGUGGAGCGGUGAAAUGCGUAGAUAUCUAGAGGAACGCCAGAGGCGAAAGCGGGGCACUGGGCCGAUUCUGACGCUGAGAUCCGAAAGCGUGGGGAG